UUCUGAGAAGACGUCGCGGGCCCCAACCCAGAGCUGCGUUUGGACCGGAAUUGGGAAACGUCGCAGGCGACGGAAAUUUCAUGGAAGUAUAGCUGCAAGUAUCUGGGAUGCCACUAUUAAAAGUACCACUUAGAAAACAGAAAGAAAUUGAGCAAGAGAGGCAUUUGCAAGCCAACAACAAAGAAUUCAAUGAAAAAUUUGAAUAUGUGAACAAUGCCAUUAAGACCUCAAAAUACAAUUUCUUCACAUUCCUGCCCAUGAAUCUAUUUGAACAAUUUCAGAGAGUAGCA